AUUGAACGCUGGCGGAAUGCUUUACACACGCAAGUCGAACGGUAGAGGGGGCAACCCCUCGAGAGUGGCGAACGGGUGAGUAAUAUAUCGGAACGUGCCCAGUCGUGGGGGAUAACGUAGCGAAAGUUACGCUAAUACCGCAUACGAUCUAAGGAUGAAAGCGGGGGAUCGCAAGACCUCGCGCGAUUGGAGCGGCCGAUAUCAGAUUAGGUAGUUGGUGGGGUAAAGGCCCACCAAGCCAACGAUCUGUAGCUGGUCUGAGAGGACGACCAGCCACACUGGAACUGAGACACGGUCCAGACUCCUCCGGGAGGCAGCAGUGGGGAAUUUUGGAAAAUGGGCGACAGCCUGAUCUAGCCAUUCCGCGUGCAGGAUGAAGGCCCUCGGGUUGUAAACUGCUUUUGUACAGAACGAAAAGGUUUCUACUAAUACUAGGAGCUCAUGACGGUACUGUAAGAAUAAGCACCGGCUAACUACGUGCCAGCCGCCGCCGUAA
rnacentral:rRNA from 1 species